rnacentral:rRNA from 1 species
UACGUAGGGGGCAAGCGUUGUCCGGAUUUAUUGGGCGUAAAGAGCGUGUAGGCGGCCAGACAGGUCCGUUGUGAAAACUCGAGGCUCAACCUCGAGAUGUCGAUGGAAACCGUCUGGCUAGAGUCCGGAAGAGGAGUGUGGAAUUCCUGGUGUAGCGGUGAAAUGCGCAGAUAUCAGGAAGAACACCUAUGGCGAAGGCAGCACUCUGGGACGGUACUGACGCUGAGGCGCGAAAGCCAGGGGAGCAAACGGG